rnacentral:snRNA from 1 species
GGAUGUGAGGGUGAUCUGGCUAUGACAUCCGUCACCCCAUUUAUCUCCAGGGUUGAUUCGGCAUCUGGCUGGCUAGGUGGGUGUCCCUUCCUCCUCACUGCUCCAUGUGCGUCCUCCUGAAGCUGCUCAGUUGAAGAGGAUGACCAUCCUCAAUAGAGGAGGACCGUUCUUCAGUCAAGGGUAUAUGAGUAGCUGCGUUCCCCUGCUAGAACCUCCAAACAAGCUCUCAAAAUGUCUUCCUCCAUAACUGAUGAAGCAUUCAUUUACUUUAGGGCUGAGUGCAGUAGCUUGCCCCUGUAAUCCCAGCUAUCCAGAGGGAGAU